AUCUGCUUCCCCGCCACACUCGGGUCCCCGCCGGUAGCGGUUUCGUUAUGAGAGGAGCAGAGAGUGUGGCUCCUGAGAGAAUAAUUUCCCACAAUAAUUGGCGGGAAAACCGACGUAGGACAUUAUUUUGCAGCCAACCUGAGCGGCAGGAAACCGGAAGUGCACGUUGCGCGCGGCUCUUUUGAGACCUAACACUGAGUCCGGGCGCGAAGAGGAUGGAUCGGUACUUGCUGCUGGUCACCUGGAGGGAAGGGAAGUUUCGAUCCGUGGCGGGUGGGGAGAUCGAGCCUGGCACUGAGGCGACAUCCCUGGAGAGCACCGACAAACAGCCCGAUUUGACCGCAACCAAUAUUUAUCACCUCUUGAAGAGAAGCAUCAGCGAUUCAAUCCAUCCAGAUGACAGUACAUUCCCUGCUUGUUCAGUGGGUGGCACACCUCAUUCCAGGAAGUGGUUCUUUGCGGUGCAAGCAAUAUGCGGAUUUUACCAGUUUUGUAGUUCUGAUUGGCAAGAGAUACAUUUUGAUGCUGAAAAAGAUAAAAUCGAAGAUGUUCUUCAAGCAAAUAUAGAAGAAUGUCAGAGUGCUGUUGAGUGUUUUGAAGAAGAUGACAGUAAUAGCAGGGAAUCCUUACCCUUGGCUGACCUAUAUGAAGAAUCAGCAGAAAAUUUGCAUCAGUUAUCAGACAAGCUUCCCGCUCCUGGUAGAGCAAUGAUAGACAUAAUACUGUUGCCUUCUGACAAAGACCCUCCUAAGCUAAAAGAGUGCUUGCCCAUUGUAGGGGCCUUGAAACAUCUGAAGGAAUGGCAUUCAGCAAAAGUUAUCAUAGCAGGAAGUUACUGUGAGAUAAAUUGUCAGAAAAUUGCUGAAUACCUUUCAGCUAGUGUUGUGCCUUUAGAAGAAUUCAGAAAUGCCAUUGAUCCGAGGGAACUGUGGCGGGGAGAGAUUCAGAUGCGGGAACGAAAGUUUGGAUUUGAAAUUAGUUUUCCUGAAUUUUGUUUAAAAGGAGUUACGCCUACGAAUGUUAGUGCGUAUAAUUUAAAUACCUGCUUCCUUGCCAAGAAGAUAGCAUCUUCUAAGGUUUUCCAUUAUUAUGGUCCUGCUUUGGAAUUUGUGCAGAUGAUAAAACUAUCAGAUCUUCCCUCCUGUUACAUGUCGGAUAUCGAGUUUGAGUUAGAGGUGACUGGGCACUGCACGAGGCAGAAUUCCAUGCUGCUGUUGGAACAGAUCUCUUCCCUGUGUGGCAAGGUUGGUGCUCUCUUUGUGCUGCCGUGUACUGUUAGCAAUGUACUCAUCCCACCUCCCAGCCAACUGGCCUCAAGAAAGUGGAAGGAAUACAUGGCUAAGAAGCCCAAGACCAUCAGUGUUCCCGAUGUUGCCGUGAAGGGAGAGUUUUCUGGCUAUCAUCUCCUGCUGCAAGGUAUGGGCAAGAGAAAAUGCAGAGCCACCCUGCUGCACUCGGCCAGCCAGAUCAAUGGCUCGUUUGCACUCAGUGUCAUUCAUGGGAAGAUGAAAACAAAGGCAGGAGAAGCCAGACCGAGUUUCCCCUUUGACUUCUCGUCACUCCCAAGGUUUUCGGAGGAGCAGGUUUUACAGAGAGAGAAACAAUUAGCCAGCUUUCAAGUUUUGGCUUUGAAAGAAUGCCUGAAAAGAAGAAAGGCUGCAAACCAGCCCGAAGCCUUUUCUGCCGAUGAACUCAAAAGUCUGUUGGCACUCACGAGGGAGCGCUUCCUAGGUCACUUUGAUGUUCUCCCCACUGAAGCAGCUUUAGCACAAACAGACACCGUGAAAGCUGCCGGCGUGGUAAAUGAUGACGGUACAGUUGAACCUUAUUCUUCAAGCCUAAUGGAAACCAAUCCUCUGGAAUGGCCAGAAAGACAUGUUCUUCAGAAUUUAGAAACUUCUGAAAAAGCUAAACAAAAAAUGAGAACUGGCUCAUUACCGCGUUCGUCUGAACAGUUGCUGGGCCAUAAAGAGGGUCCCCGGGACUCACUCACAUUACUGGAUGCUAAGGAGCUGCUGAAGUAUUUCACCUCGGAUGGGUUACCAGUCGGAGAUCUUCAGCCGUUACACAUUCAACGGGGGAUUCAUCAGUUGGUACAUGUGUGACAUUUGAUGUAAUGACUUCAAGUUCCUGUUAAGCUCUGUCCAUCUUUGAGCAGAUGCACUGCUUUGCUUUGCUGGGUUUACUGGCCUUGCUGGAGUGCAUCUUGUUUCCAGCUCUGCAUUCCACGUCUGUUCACUCUGCACGUCACCAUGUAAAGGCCAACCCUGUGGCAGACUCUGCCCAUUUCCAUGGAACCAAUGCUGAGUCUCAGGGCUGUGACUGACCAUUAGACCAGUGGGUGGUAACUCAUCAGGAAAGGGAGGCCGAGUCAGGAUAACCCAGUGACCUUAGCCUGAUGCAGCAGCCGCUUGGAUUCACAGUAGCCCUGCAGGUUUGGGAAAAGCCUUUUGUUUUGACACCAGAGCUUAGUCCUGGAAAACUUCAGGUCUUACCUUUUGAAAAAGCCUCGGAAUGCCAUUACCACGGGAUUGAAUAUUGCCUGGAUGACCAAAAAGCUUUAGAAAGAGAUGGGGGAUUUUCUGAACUUCAGUCGCGCCUUAUUCGUUACGAGACGCAGACCACCUGCACCAGAGACAGUUUUCCAGUCCCCACCGUGCUGAGCCCUCUUCCAUCCCCUGCAGUUCUGUCAGAGCCUCAGAGUGUCCCCGAAGGAGAAGCACUGCAAGGCGAACUGAGGACUGAAGUUUCUGGAUUGAAGCGGAGAUCUAAAGACCCCAGCUGCCUGUACCCCCAGAAAAGACUUACGAGAUCAGAAAGUUCUGAUUGUUUGCCUUCCCAAGCGAGUUGCAAUAGUAAUCAUCACCAUCACACAGGGAAACCCAGGAAGCCUCAGGCAGAGCGCUGUGUGUCAGGGCUUCCUCUGCCUGGCCGGGAAGCUUCCAAAGAUACCUCAAAGACCAGUUCAGGACAAAAACGAGCACACGAAUCAAAAUCAUCAAAGCAAAUGAAGGAAUCACGGUCCCAGAAACACACACGGAUGCUGAAGGAGGUGGUAAAAGACACCUUGAAGAGGCACCACAUCACGGAGGCCCAUGAGAGCUUCACGGCCUGCAGCCAGAGACUCUUCGACAUCUCCAAGUUCUACCUGAAGGAUCUGAAAACAUCAAGGGGUCUCUUUGAAGAAAUGAAGAAAACAGCCAACAACAAUGUGGUGCAGGUGAUCGAAUGGGUGGUAGAAAAGAUGAGCAAGAAAUAAGCUACUGCACCCCCUUUCCUUAGAGAACUGUACACAGCCUGUAAACUUUCCCCAAAGAGCAGAUGCCUCAUUUGUAAGGAGGGUCCAUGGUGUCCUGUAUCUAUAUAGUUUUGUGACACUCAGUUAUUUUCAACUAAUGCACUUAUUUUUACAGUUUUACAAUAUUUUAAUCUAUGAAAUUUUUAUAUAUUUUAAAUGUUUUAACUCUUGGUUAUUUAAUUGUUAAAUAAACAGUAAUAUUUCAUUA